rnacentral:rRNA from 1 species
UACGUAGGGUGCAAGCGUUGUCCGGAAUUAUUGGGCGUAAAGAGCUCGUAGGCGGUUUGUCGCGUCGAAUGUGAAAACCCGGGGCUCAACCCCGGGCCUGCAUACGAUACGGGCAGACUAGAGUUCGGUAGGGGAGUCUGGAAUUCCUGGUGUAGCGGUGAAAUGCGCAGAUAUCAGGAGGAACACCGGUGGCGAAGGCGGGACUCUGGGCCGAUACUGACGCUGAGGAGCGAAAGCGUGGGGAGCAAACAGG